UGAAACCCUUCCUUCUUUCAC
rnacentral:siRNA from 1 species